rnacentral:rRNA from 1 species
UGAGGAAUAUGGUCAAUGGACGAGAGCUGAACCAGCCAAGUAGCGUGAAGGAUGACUGCCCUAUGGGUUGUAAACUUCUUUUAUAUGGGAAUAAAACGUUCCACGUGUGGGAUUUGUAUGUACCAUAUGAAUAAGGAUCGGCUAACUCCGUGCC